UCGUUCCUCCUCUUCUCGAAUUGGAACAAACUAGAUUGGUUAUUCUCGGCCGUUGAUCUGUUUAUCUCACUCGUUUUCUCUCUCUCUCUCUCUCUCUCUUCCCCCUCUCUUUCUCAUUCUUUCUCUCUCUUCUUCCUUCUCACUACGCUACUUGAAUUUCGCUACGCUACGAGCAAUAUAAACAUGAACGAAGCCGAUUUCAAUGAAAUCUUUUUCAUGCUAAUGGAGGCCUCGGGUGUAUUUCUCGUUUCACAAGCGGCUCAUAACCUAUCAGUAGUGCGUAUAGUGUAAAUCGGACUCGAAAACCGUGAAGAAGAGCUUCAAGCUAAAUCUCGAACACGAAACGAACUCUCAUUAAGAUGAAAAUUACGCUUCCUUGAUGCAAAACUUCGCGAGUGGCUGGAUAGUCUGAGUGAGCAAGCGAUUUUGAUGUUCAGUGAGAAGAAAACUAAUAUUACAGAGAAUAACAGGUAGAGCAGCAAUAACCGCAGAAACGACGAUACCAACGUUCUCGAAUACUCCCAAGGGUUAACAAUGUCUUUAAUGACGUAACAUAAUUACGAGGAAGCUUUCCCUCACGAUGUACGUCACCGGCAAACGCGGGAGCUUAAUUGUAAAGCCUGGAAGAUCGAGGCUAAGCGGCUAAACGAGCACGAUCGUCCUUGACGAAGGACUCUGAGAAACAUCAAGAGAUAAACCACAAUGUCAUCCUGCGCUACCAUUAGAGAGUAAUCGCUUUAGAAACAGCUUCUCCUUUCUACUUUAUCAUUCUCUUGCUAGAUUUACUCAAAUCCCUUUUCGAAAGACCUAUUUAACACUUAUGAUUAUGUACUCGUAUAAAAUGACAUAUUAUAUGAAACAUCAUAUGAAAUAUUAUUAUAUUUAGACAUAUUUAACAAUCACAAUUAUAUCGUACUCAUGAAAAGUGAAAUUAAAAUAAACGAAUGCUACUAAUAUUUACGUGCAUGAAAUUCUCGCAUGUAGAUUACGCUUUCUUAGAAAGUUUUAAACAAAUGAGUUGCCAUGAUCACCUCGUUAUUUGUAUGAAAUAGCGAAGUGGCUCUUUAAAGAGAGACAGAAAAAGAGAGAGAACGAGAGAGAAAGAGAGAGAGAGAAAAAAAAAUACAAUAUAAUAUGCAAAUCAUCUAAAAAGAUCAAUAAAACAAGUAAAAUAGAUUGAUCGAACAUUUUCGAUCGUGCGAAGCAAUUAUGCUAAGCUUUUAUUAAAAGUAGCAACGUAAAAUAAAUAAAUAAUAAAAUUAAGAGAACGUUUUAAAAAACCGUUUAACCUACUGAGAAUGAAACAAGGUGUAUGCUAUACUUCAACAUGAUUUUUUUCUUUUUCGCAAAUUAAUAUUGUAUUGUUUUACAAAGGGAAGAAAAAACAGAAAUCUAGAAAAAAAGUAAUUCGUGCAAUUUUGCGUUUAACGAAGAAAAACACGCAGAAACGCAAUUAUGCGUCUAAGAAAAGAGCUUUUGGGAAGUCGACAAGAGGACAAAUAAAAGCGAGAUUCCUUCAAGUGUUACCUUCUUGAACUUUCAUACUUAGGAACCUUUUGUGUAGGAAGGAUGGCUUGAAGGGUGGCUUAGAUGAUUCGAAAACAAAGAAAAUUGCUGAUCUUGAAUGGACCAAUGUUGCCAAUGGGUCGUAGAUAAUUGCUUAGACUCCAUCAUUUUCUAUUUUGUUUUUCUUUUUUCUUCUCUCUCUCUCUCUCUCUCUCUCUCUCUCUCUUUCUUUCUCUCUCUCUCUCUCUCCUUAUCAAAUUUCCCAUGAGUAAGAGAAAGGGGAAAUACCAGCGUUUACUCACACAUCUUUAACGUGUUUCCUCGCAUACGUUACCGCAAACAUAACAGUCUGUAGAUGUAGAGCUAGCCCACGUUGUUUAAUUCAUGAAUCGGUGCUAGAAUGCAACGUAGAAAGAUCGCCUACGAAUUAGUUGGAAGGAAGAAGCCCAAAGGACCGAAGAGCCCUUGAUAUGAAACUCGACGAUAGAAAAUGAAGAUAUACUUCCCUUUUGCCAUGGCCGCAAAAAUCUUCACGAGAGAUUUAUGUGCAGACGCUAAGAAAGAAACUUCAUCGUUCCGAGGGAAAAACGAAUGCGAUAUUUGCACGUAAAUAUCUGUGAAAUUUACGUAGUCGACUGUGCCUGACGAAAGUUUCGUGAAAUCAAACUUUUUCGAUGGAAUUUUGCAUCCGUUUAUUUAUUUAUUUAUUUUUUUUUAAUCUUUUUCUAUUUCCUUUUUCGAUAAUAUCAUCAGACUACGGAUGUUUAUGCACUUAAAAUAUGUUGAAAUAUACAAAUAACAUAUUGAAAUAUGAAAAUAUAAUAUGUGAACAUAUGCAUAAAUAUAACAAUAUAUAUAUAUGCAAAAAUUUGUGAAAUAUUAUGAAUAUUUUGAAA